rnacentral:tRNA from 1 species
GCUUUUAUAGCUUAGUUGGUUAGAGCACCAUAGUUUAGUAAGUGGGAUGUUUUGAGUUCAAAUCUCAAUAAAAGCA